AAUCAACGCUGGCGGCGUGCCUAACACAUGCAAGUCGAACGCGAAAGCCCCGCAAGGGGUAAGUAGAGUGGCAAACGGGUGAGUAACACGUGGGUGACCUGCCUUCGAGUGGGGGAUAACGUCCCGAAAGGGACGCUAAUACCGCAUGACAUCCUGCUUUUGAAAAAGCGGAGAUCAAAGCUGGGGAUCGCAAGACCUAGCGCUUGAAGAGGGGCCCGCGCCUGAUUAGCUAGUUGGUGAGGUAACGGCUCACCAAGGCGACGAUCAGUAUCCGGCCUGAGAGGGCGGACGGACACACUGGGACUGAGACACGGCCCAGACUCCUACGGGAGGCAGCAGUGGGGAAUUGUUCGCAAUGGGCGCAAGCCUGACGACGCAACGCCGCGUGGAGGACGAAGAGCUUCGGGUCGUAAACUCCUGUCGAGCGGGACGAACGCUUCGCGGAUGAAUAAUCCGCGGAAUUGGCGGUACCGCUAAAGGAAGCCCCGGCUAACUCCGUG
rnacentral:rRNA from 1 species